UCUUAAAAAAACAAACAAACAAACAAACAAACCUAACAUUUGAAAUUGCUCCUGCAGCUGAAGGCAUUUUUACCAAAUAAAGUCACUCAGUAGAGACCAACUAAAUAUAAGACAAAAUAAGACCUCUUCAAGUCGGUCUUACUCAUUUAACAUUUAAACCUAGCACCUAUGCACUGAACACAAUUACUUUCAUUCAUGCAUUUGAACAUAAAUACUACUUUUAUAACUGAGGAUAAAACUACCUAAAAUUACUAGGGUAUUUAAAUGAAUUUAGUUUGCAUACUUCAAAUGGCAGACGCUAUUUCUGGCCCAAAAAGGCAGUAGUUUUUCUGCAGCCUUAAUUACAAUUCUGAGACAUUUCACACUUGAUGAAACUGCCUGGAGCCAGCGGGUACUGAUUUCCCUCCUACCCUUGGAGCAGGAGGCUCUGGACCACACUAGACGCAGUGAAGUGUGUGUAGAGAGAGAGAGAGACAGAGAGACAAAGAGAGAGAGACUGAGCCCCCUACUCCCACCAUAGCACUCAUUUUAAGCAGAUGAUGCAUGCUCCACCGACGUUCCUGAAUGAUAUGCCGUUUAAUUUUAAAAAACAAAAAUGAUUUUAAAACGAAAAUAUUCAGAACCAGCCGAAAUAUCUCCAUCCCACAAGCUGAUCAAAACAUACAACGCAAGGUACCAAUGCUGGGGAUGCGCUUCAGCUGCAGGAUUGUCUGAUGUUAUUUUAAAUUCAGGGGACAAAAAGCCAGCUCGCAAUUUCUUAGGCGCAUCUACCAUUGUCUCCGUAUCAAGAAUAUUUUUUUCAGUUGCUAAACUACCCGAGAGUCCUUCGCUCACGUCACAAAAUCGGCACAUAACACACAGAUUUAACCUUACUUAGCAAAUUGACCUUUCCCAUACA